UUUCUUUCUUUCUUUCUUUCUUUCUCUGCCUUUUCCUGAUGUGUCUGUUGUGUGCGUAAAAAGACAAAAAUCUAGAAAACAACAAGUGGUGGACAGGAAACGCGUGGUAUGUCAGUGUGUGAGUCUGUCUCUUUGUCGUCUGUCAGAUCUAUUCUGUAUGUCUUCAAUCGACUUCAAAACAAGGAAUACAAAG
rnacentral:ribozyme from 11 species